rnacentral:tRNA from 1 species
AAAUAAGAAGCAUUAUAUGCAUUUAAUUUCGACUUAAAAAAAGAGUUUAAAUACUCCUUAUUUA